rnacentral:rRNA from 1 species
AUUGAACGCUGGCGGCGUGCUUAACACAUGCAAGUCGAGCGGUAACAGGCGUAGCAAUACGUGCUGACGAGCGGCGAACGGGUGCGUAAUACAUGGGAAUCUGCCCUUUGGUGGGGAAUAACCCGGCGAAAGCCGGGCGAAUGCCGCAUAAGAUCUUCGGAUGAAAGCGGGGGAUCGUAAGACCUCGCGCCGAUGGAUGAGCCCAUGUCGGAUUAGCUAGUUGGUGAGGUAACGGCUCACCAAGGCGACGAUCCGUAGCUGGUCUGAGAGGACGGCCAGCCACACUGGGACUGAGACACGGCCCAGACUCCUACGGGAGGCAGCAGUGGGGAAUAUUGGACAAUGGGGGAAACCCUGAUCCAGCGACGCCGCGUGUGUGAAGAAGGCCUGCGGGUUGUAAAGCACUUUCGAUGGGAACGAAAUGUGCCGGGCUAAUACCCCGGCAAGCUGACGUUACUCAAUGAAGAAGCACCGGCUAACUCUGUGCCAGCAGCCGCUGUAA